UCUAUGAUUCUAUGAAUCCGUCUCUACAAGUUGCAACGAUUCCAUGACUCCAUGCCCCUGUAAUUCCUUUGAUUCCUUGCAUCCACGAUUCCAUAAUUCUCCAUGUCUAUGAUGCAGUGAUUCCAUGUUUUUAUGACUCCACAACUCCAUGAUUCCAUGUUCGAUUAUUUUCUGAUUUUGUGGUUGUGUGAUUCCAUGGCUCUUGUGCUGCAGGUGUAAUGAUCCCACUGUUCUUUAAUUCCAUUACUCCAUUAUUGUGAUGCAAUGAUUCUUUGAUUCUCUGAUGUAAUGAUGCAAAUAUUCCAUGAUUCUAUGAUUCAUGAGUAUGUGGCUCACUGACUCCAUGAUUUUAUCAUUAUUUGAUCAAAUGAUUGCACAAUCCCUUGUUACCAUGAUUUUUCUAUUGCUUGAUUUUAUGGUUUCAUAUUUCUGUGACUGUUAUAGAUCCUGAAUCUAUGAUUCCAAGAUUCUGUGAUUCCAUCAUUUCUUAACUGAUUCUGUGCAGUUUUAGCACUUUGUUUGCCUGAUAAAUUUGGUGAAAUCGGCUUCUGAGCUGCUGCUGACCCUGAGCAACUCUUAAAAGUGAACAAAGCUGAUGUAACUCCCUGUAACAUGCAGGGGAAAUUUAAGUUCAAGCCAAGUUGAGAAAUAGUGUUAGCUCACUUUGAUGGCUACAUCCUGAAAGUGCCCAAAAAAGCAGGAAGAAAGUAGUGAGUCCAACAAUGCCAUUAUAAAACUGGUUUAGGAGCCGGUUUCAGCUUCAGGAAUGGAAGAGGAGACUCAGUCCCUGUUUACUGCUUCCUGUUGAGUUCCAUCAGCCAUUCAGGCACUAAUAACAUUAGACUCCACUACCAGAUUUGCAACAAACUAUUAAAAGUAGAUUUUGUACUAACCAGAACAGAAAAGGGGAAGUAUGCAAACUGAUUUUUGUUUCAAAGCAUCCUGGAUAAUAUUCCAUGGCUGUAAGAGGUGAUAUCCUUCCCUGGCUGGUGGCUGAAGGUCUUGACCCAUGGAGCCUUCAGAGGACCAGGAAAAAGAAGAACAGAAAUUUAGAGGAAACUGAAAUGUAAUCCAAAUAAAUCAAUGUACUGAUCUGACUUCUUAGAGGCAGCAAAACUAUUGGACAUGGAAUGCUAAAACGCAGGGCCAUAUUUCUCUUUCAUUGAACAGAAUGCUCCUUCUCUAUCUUCCCUGCAUUUAUGUUCUAUGCUAAUAGAUGUGUUGUGAUGAAAUUUUUUUGCUUUUCAGUAAUGAUUACAAAGUAAAUAAUAUUAAAAGCGCGUACUCUUAAUUCGGCCUUCUUUUUAUUUAAUCACAAGAAAUGGUGCUUAAAUUACCACAGAACAUUUUUAGGUAGCAGUGAGGCAGAAGAAAGGCUGGAACUAACCGUGGGUUCUAGGUAGUCCCCUCCUCUGGGAUUACUGAUUUAAUUUAUAAUAUCACUGUCAUUUCUGUCAACUGUUAGGACAUAAAAGGACAGCAGGAUCAA